rnacentral:rRNA from 1 species
GACGAACGCUGGCGGCGUGCCUAAUACAUGCAAGUUGAGCGCUGAAGGUUGGUACUUGUACCAACUGGAUGAGCAGCGAACGGGUGAGUAACGCGUGGGGAAUCUGCCUUUGAGCGGGGGACAACAUUUGGAAACGAAUGCUAAUACCGCAUAAAAACUUUAAACACAAGUUUUAAGUUUGAAAGAUGCAAUUGCAUCACUCAAAGAUGAUCCCGCGUUGUAUUAGCUAGUUGGUGAGGUAAAGGCUCACCAAGGCGAUGAUACAUAGCCGACCUGAGAGGGUGAUCGGCCACAUUGGGACUGAGACACGGCCCAAACUCCUACGGGAGGCAGCAGUAGGGAAUCUUCGGCAAUGGACGAAAGUCUGAUCGAGCAACGCCGCGUGAGUGAAGAAGGGUUUCGGAUCGUAAAACUCUGUUGGUAGAGAAGAACGUUGGUGAGAGUGGAAAGCUCAUCAAGUGACGGUAACUACCCAGAAAGGGACGGCUAACUACGUG